UUGAUUAUUUUGUUUUAGGCUCAGAUGGCUCAAGGUAGCAAGAGUUUUGGUGUCCUCCGGCGGGCACCCGGCGCACGCCGGGCUGGCGGCCCCGCCCUGGGGCUGCCCGCCGAAGCAACGACAGAGGUAUGUUCACAUGGGUUUUUAGGGGUUUGAUCCCUUCUGUAAUGAUCCCUCCGCUGGUUCACCAACGGAGA
rnacentral:misc_RNA from 1 species